CUUUCCCAGAGGUUACUGACUCACUGGGUUGGCCCACACAACAGGACUGGGAGAUGAGGGCUGUUGCACCACUUGUCCAAGCUCAUGGACAUACUGGAGCACAUGAUGGCUUUCUCCCCAUUUGCGUGCCCACACUUGCACAUCCCCGAGCACCCAGAGGAUGGUGUGGUCCCAGCUCUUGCUCUGGCCUGCAGGAGGGGCAUAGACUGAGAGCACACCCACAAACUGGGACUGGGCAAGUAGCAGAGGGCUCCUCAUCCCAUAGGUGAGAUUCUGCCAAGAGAUCCCAGGAAAACAGAUAAGGGAUACCAACCUGCCACAAGUUUCAGGAAUUGACUCAUUAACUUCCUCGGCACUUGAGAAAGGCUCAGUUAAGAAGAAGCAAACUUCCGACCUCAGAAAGCAGCCAGAAACGUUAGCCUCAGAGACUCCUACCAGGAGCCUUCAUCUGAACCUGGGCUGUUCCAACAAGUCUCCCUCCUCACCCACUCAAGAGGUAACUUAACCUAGGAAGCUGACAGAGCAAUAAUACCUUGCAGUAAAUUGCCUAAUAAACACACCCCAGUGGCUUUUGCUUGUGCUGAGAUGAAUCUUCCCUCCUCUCAUGCUCUUCUACUCUCCCAAACAGGUAGGCUUCAGAGGUGCAGCUUCAUCCUAAUUACACCACUACUUUUACCAAAACUGGCUCAGUAUUGGAGCACACUUUAUCUGGUUGCAUUCAAGCCUUCUCUAACCUGAUUUCUUGGAUAUGGCAGAUUCAUUUUCCCACCUCAGGUCCACUCAACCAAGACCCUAGUGACUAAGCAAUCACCAAGCUCCAUCAAGUCCUUCUGCACAGGUUAACCAUGAGAUUCAGCCAUCAAGCCUUCCACGGAUCGUCUUCCCUGACUGCUCUCUGUGCUCCUUCUGCCACAUCUAUCCACAAAGCCAGGUUCAGAAAUGUAAAACUGGUCUCAGGGAACUUUCCCAUCCUAUUUCCACCCUGGAAACCUGAAAUUUCUCACAAUACGUCAUGGUUCGAAGAUCAGCUCCUGAGGAACAGACAUGUGAACCAAGCUGACUCUCCAGCCUUUAUUAAAGUGCACUUAUUUCUUAAUCUCAAGCACCUGCAUUUCCUUUGAGGCAGGGGAAGAGUUUUGUGUGGGCAAGAGGUUCUUUAGAAUUGCAGCCAACAGAAAGGGUGUGUCGGCGGGAGGAGAGGAGCGAUACAAGCAAGGAUUCUCCCACGCCAAGCACACAAGGCGACUGCCAGCAAUCCCUUUGGGGAUACUCUUCCGCAACCCACCUGGGGAAACCAUAGAGGUAUUACUCAAACGACCAAGUUUCUGGAAAAGACAAACAAGUGGGCUGAAAGGCUCAGCUCAGGAAAUGUCUAAUUUUACUAAUACAAAAGAAGGAAGCAGCCUGAGCGUAGGCCUCUUUUGAUGUGGGUGCCCGUCAUCUGCUGGUCAUGAAGAUGUACCCAUACCACUCUGCAGCUAUAGCCUCGAGACCUGGUCCAGUGACUCCAUCUAUUUCCUUCCCUUGAAGCAGUGGUAAGUCACCAGUAUCAGGAAGUCACCGUGGAGAUAUUUCCAGAUGUGUCCCAGUGCGGCCUGCAGUUGGAGAUCCUCCACCAGGGCAUCUCCGCAGGCACAUGCCAAAUAUCUCUGUCCCUGAUGCAGAUGUAGAUGUAUAGGGUAAGCAUACAAAAUACCUAACCAAAACAUUCCCCCAGCUUCUAGCAACUGGAGGCCCAUAGUCUUCCUGAGACAGACACAAAUUCUGAAUAUUUGCCACCCACAGAGAACUUCCCUUCUAUAAACGUAUCUAAUAAGCCCUUGAACCCAAAUCAACUUUUGGCAUCCACAUUAUCCUACAAAAAGGAGGUCUACAGCUUAAAUAUGUAGGGG
ensembl:lncRNA